CAAUGUUUCUACCCGCCCGCUGUACCCGUCGCACCCAAAUACACUCGCCCGCCGUACCCGCCGUUCACCGAGUCCCCUUCCUGCUUUCGACCGCCGCGCUGCCCGCCGUAUCCGCCGUUCACCAAGGUCCAAGCCCACCACGGGCGCCGGCGCUCCCCCGCCCGCCGCGCCGUCCCAACUCCCUCUCCUGCUCCCCUGCGGCCAUGGGCCAUGGCCGAACGCCGCUCCCCGUCCCGAACGCCCCCACGGCGCCCUCCCCCGAGGCUGCCGGGCGACCUCGGCGGCGAGUUCGUUGAGCCGCGCGCGACACUCAUGCCUGCGCUCCCCACCCACCCCCGCCGCACUUGCUCUCCUGUUCUCCUGCCUGGCGCGCUCGCCCUCCACCACGUUGUCGCCCUGCCGCGCUCGCCCUCCGCCAUGUUGUCGCCCUCCCUCUUCCCCGCAGUCAAUGCCAAGCUCCGCCAAGCGCAAGGCGCCGGCAGCACCCUCCCCCGCGCGCGGCCGAGGCCAAGCUCCGCCCAGCCCAAGCCGCCGGCAACGCCCUCCCCCACACCUCCCGUCGAAGCUCGCCUUCAUGGCCAUGGCGUGGGGCAGCGACGCGGCGAGCACGCCGGUAUGGACUGGCAUGGCGUGCGACCCGUAGCCUAGCACGAGCCUAUGCCAUUCUAUCUGCUAGCUCGCAUUCGUGCACGUACGCAUCCAGGGGGCAGAUGGAAUUCCAGCUGCCAAAACACACACAAGGUGUUCGACUAUAUGGCUCAGCAGUGACAUGGUCGAAGAAUUAAGGGUUUCCUACAAGAAGAUGAACCCAUUUUGUGUACCUUUUGCAACUACAAACAUGGUACCUUAUAUGAAUAAAUAUGAUUCAUAUUUUCGUGCUAUUUCAUUACUUUCCUUGUUUGUUGACAGAUAAGAUUCUUGACUACUGAAUUGUAUCUCAUAUGCAUUUCUGACGGCAUCUUCUGAUGUUCAUGUACUGCAUUGUUGCCGAUUGAAACUUUUGUUUCUUAUCCAAUUUCUACUCCCCAUGCAGCCACGAGGUGUAUUUUCACCCUUUUGCAGAAUAAAAGAAGAUAUUUUUGUAAGCUGCGUAAGGUCAGAGGAGCAUGCCAUCCUGAUUAAAAGCAAAAAACCACUUAUGGAUUUCAUGUUCUGUUAAAGUUGGAUUUGAGGUGUAACCAAUGUCCUUAUUUUUACCUGCAGAUUCAGGUUGGGUUGAACUAUGAGUUAUAUGUGUACAGUUUUCAGAAAUUUCUCUUGCUAUGCAUCAUUGUUGUACAUACUUCAUUUUGUUCGAGCUUCAAUCAUUUCCAUGAUGCUCUAA